ensembl:lncRNA LINC00293 long intergenic non-protein coding RNA 293
AGGCAAAUUGCCUAGAAGUGAAUCCCCUCUCCUGCUUAAGUCCUUCCCACAGAGAGCGGUUUGAUAUGUCACUGAAACCAGCAUCCAGGUGGUAUUGCUCCAUAUGCCUGAGACCCUAACAAAAGCCUAAUUACAACUCAUAUGCCUGGAGCCAGGACAUGUGCAGGAUGCCAUGAUGGUCCAAGUUAUAUUGGGAUUCAGCCAAUAGAAGAUAUUUUGCCUGUCAUCCCUAAGCUUAGGACAAUAGACUCUGCCAAGAGAGGGGAUUAUUACAUAUUGCAGAGCCCAGCACCUAGGUGGAGUGACUCUCAUCUUUUUCUUCUACCCCGUAUAUAGCCAGCUUGGUGACCUACUAUUUGAGUCUAUACCCAGGCCCAGACCACAGAUGAAAUUGUGCAAUAUGUGGAACAAACACCUAAACAAUAUAUAACACCUUCCUUGGCUCUGUCUACAAAGGGCACUUUUAUAUAUCACUGGGACCAUCAACCAGGUGAUGUUGUGCCAUAUAACUGAGACCGUAUCAAAAGCCUAAUAACAAGACGUAUGUCUGGAGCCCCGAUAUGCACAGGAUGGUGAUAUAACCCUCUUCUCUGGAAUGGGCCCCACACAAAGGAAGGAUAGUGACAUAUUGCAAGCCCAGGCACACAGGCCCAGAGCACAGUUGAAAUUGUGACAUAUGUACACCAAGCAACCAAGCAAUGUAUAACACCUCAUUUGGCAAUGGAAUCGAGGGCACUUUUACAUAUCACUGAGACCAGCGCCCAGCUGAUGUGAAAUAUUGGCCUGAACCCUGCCUACAAAAGCAUUGUGGCUUUUAUCUAGCUCCAUUACAUAAGUGAUGUGACUUCCUUCUACUGCCUUGGCCCUGCACUUAUGGUGAAUCGUGACACAAAAUUGGGUAGAGCAACCAGCCUGGGCCCUGACCAGCACAGAGAUUGAGGCAUAUUGCUGAACCCAGGACCAAGAUGAAGUCACUCUCCUGCCUUGAUCCUGCACACAGGGACCCUUGUGACAUAUAUACAGGCCAAUUGCCUAGUGGACAUGGUGUCAUAUUACUUGAGGCUGUACCGAGGUGAUGUGACUCUUCUGACAUGGCCCUGUCUGCAAAGGAGAUUAUAAUGUAUCCUGAGCCCAGAAUCCAGAUGAUGAGACUCUCCUGCCUUGUUUCUGCUCACAGGUGCUGAACUCCUUAGUUCUGGAACUAAAUGUGAAUUCUGGACUCCGGAAUGCCAGUUGGCUUUCACAUGCCAGAGGAGUGAGGAGGCCCAGGUGGGCCUAAAAAUGUGGCUGUUGGUUGGCCUUCCACACA